rnacentral:sRNA from 1 species
UGACAAACAAAACAUACUUUUCUUUGCA